rnacentral:rRNA from 1 species
GCCGGAUGAGGAAAGGCGCUUCGGCGUCGCCCUGCGAUGAGCCUGCGCCCCAUUAGCUAGUUGGUAGGGUAAAGGCCUACCAAGGCGACGAUGGGUAGCCGGCCUGAGAGGGUGAUCGGCCACACUGGGACUGAGAUACGGCCCAGACUCCUACGGGAGGCAGCAGCUAAGAAUCUUCCGCAAUGGACGAAAGUCUGACGGAGCGACGCCGCGUGGGUGAAGAAGGCCGGAAGGUUGUAAAGCCCUUUUCUCGUUGAGGAAUAAGCACAGGAGGGAAUGCCUGUGCGAUGACGGUAGGCGAGGAAUAAGUCCCGGCCAAUUACGUGCCAGCAGCCGCGGUAACACGUAUGGGACGAGCGUUGUUCGGAAUCAUUGGGCGUAAAGGGCGCGUAGGCGGCGAGGUAAGCCUGGUGUGAAAGACCGCAGCUUAACUGCGGAACCGCGCUAGGAACUGCUUUGCUUGAGUUCAGGAGGGGGAGCUGGAAUUCCAGGUGUAGGGGUGAAAUCUGUAGAUAUCUGGAAGAACACCGGCGGCGAAGGCGAGCUCCUGGCCAUGAACUGACGCUGAGGCGCGAAAGCGUGGGGAGCGAACAGGAUUAGAUACCCUGGUAGUCCACGCUGUAAACGAUGUGCACUAGGUGUUGGGCCACGAAGGUUCAGUGCCGGAGUCAACGCGUUAAGUGCACCGCCUGGGGAGUAUGCUCGCAAGGGUGAAACUCAAAGGAAUUGACGGGGGCCCGCACAAGCGGUGGAGCAUGUGGUUUAAUUCGAUGAUACGCGAGGAACCUUACCAGGGUUUGACAUAUGCCGGAAUGUGCAGGAGACUGCGCAGCCCUUCGGGGCCGGUAUACAGGUGCUGCAUGGCCGUCGUCAGCUCGUGCCGUGAGGUGUUGGGUUAAGUCCCGCAACGAGCGCAACCCCUACCGUCUGUUGCCAGCAUUCAGUUGGGGACCCAGGCGGAACUGCCGGUGACAAACCGGAGGAAGGUGGGGACGACGUCAGGUCAUCAUGGCCCUUAUAUCCUGGGCUACACACGUGCUACAAUGGCCGGUACAGAGCGAAGCAACACCGCGAGGUAGAGCAAAUCGCAGAAAGCCGGUCUCAGUUCGGAUUGGAGUCUGAAACCCGACUCCAUGAAGUUGGAAUCGCUAGUAAUCG